GAAGGUUGGUGCCUCAUCCCACGCAAGUCCUUGUCCUCUUGUGCCAGAGCG
rnacentral:misc_RNA from 1 species